CAUGAGAUGAAUACUGUAUUUCACACAGUCACUUUUAUGUCUAGCUUCUGUCUGGACUUUUUGUCUAAGGUGACUAUUUACUUAAAUACAUAUUCUACUAUAUCUUGUACUAUUUAGGUGAGGUGUCAGAAAAGUCUGUUUUAACAUAACACCUAUUUAUUUAAACAUCUUUUGCAUGCAGCUCAAAUAUGUACUGCUUUCAGAUGGAGCAGGAGGAAGGCAAACAGAUCUGCAUCCCAAAUGACUCUACUCCCCAUGGGCAGGCAGCAAGCAGAUGCAUCUGCAUGAGCCUUUUCCUCAGGUGGUGCCUGGCUGUCACUGGAAAUUUUUCAGCAUGGUAACCACUAGGUAUGCUGUCAGGAAGCUGAUGUCAUUUCCUCUCAUCAUGGCAUCAGAAAAAAAUUAUAGGUUGCUUUGAAAAUAAUGCCUCUUAUUUAUUUCUGUGAAUCUACAACAGCUACAAAGGGCACAAUAAUACUAUUUGAUAGAGCAAAUUCUCAGCUACCAAACACUGUUUUUCAGCCUAGUCACAACCAACCAUUAGCUAUGUAUUUUCACCAGCCAUGAACAAGAACAGCAGGCCACUCUCAUAAAAAUCUGCAACAGUGGAGGUGACCUACUGUCAUUGCUGCUGAAAUGCAUCAGCUCACUGUGCUCACAUCCACUACUUGGUCUCCAUCAAUGUUCAGUAAGCAUCAAUAAAUGUCAGCGGGUGCCAUGUCUUCCAUAUGGAAGAACUCUAAUGUCUGGUGUCUGACAUGAAAGUGCAUAUGAAGCAUUUUGUCAGACUGUCCCCCUGCUGCCAUCUGUCACAUGGCAACGAAGUGUAACAUAUUGGUGGGAAGGUUCAACCUCUACUGCCAAUGCCACCAACAUCUGCCUCCAACAUCAUAAAACAUCAUAAAAAAGGGGCAUUAUUUUCUGAGCAGCCUCCAUAGUAUGCUGUUUCCUCACUCGGAGUUCUGUGCCAGCCUGUCACUUCAUAUCCUUAGGGUCAGUGUGCAUUAGCUGUGGGCUCAAGAGAGAAGGAAGCAACUGAAAGAGGCAUCUCUUUUCCAGUUCUGCCUCAGGUGAGGUGAGAAAGUGACCUGGCUAUACCAAGCAAGGUCUCAGGCUUCCUCUGUGUUUGGCAGUAUAUGGGACAAUGGCAUUUUUCCCUGUUGUUUCACACUGUCAAACAUCAAAACUGCAUUUAUCAGUGAGCUUCACUUUAUUCUAAAAGACUCUGAAUUCAUUAUUCUUUCCUUGUUCCAGUGGGUGCGCUUCAAGCUAAUUCUAAGGCAAUGGGAGCAAUAUGUACUUACUGCCCUCCCUACCCCAUACUCUCUGCGUAUCCUGAACUGAUAGAUAUGGAUGAUGUUGAAGCAAAUGAGCUUUUUUCCAUCUAAGAACCAGACCCUUUAAAUUGGUUGUACAAUGACAGACAUUUGUAGAACAUGUGGUACAAAGUAGUAAUUCCUACUACUGGGGAGCUUAGCAGUAAAUCCAGAGUAGUGAUCCCGGAUUUCUUUGUGGUGCGUACUCUAAUGUAUCCCAGCUCUGUGUGCAUGCACACAUUUAUCUUGUGGACAGUGAAUUAAUAGAAUUAUAUUUUGAAAAGCUGUUUUGAAGUCUUAG
ensembl:lncRNA